rnacentral:lncRNA from 1 species
GGGCUGCAGGGCUGCGGGCGCUUGGUUCGGCCUGGCCCGGCCGGCGGCUCCUAACACCGGGCGGGCGGCUGCGGCGGCACUUCCGGGUUGGCCUUCUCCAUGUUGGUCUCGGGAACGUGAAGGGGCGGGGCCUCGAGGUCAGGGGUCAGCACCUCCCUGGUUGCCGUGGCGACUGGAGGCGCGCGACGCGGGCGCAAUGGCGGGGACCCGGGGCUUGAUGCUGCUUGGGCCUGGCCCAGUGGCGGGUCCUAGGGACGUGGGUACCUGCAGAGGCCGGCAGAUGGAGAUUCAGAAACAUAAGGACAACAAGAAACUUCCCCAAGGUAUCAUUAUAGUCUUUAGACUUCAGACACACACCACACCUCAAAUAUAUACACAACUGAAAGGAAAAUUAAGGAAGUUUUUCAAAGAACCCUAUUCCGAGUAAGAAGUGUGUUGCAUGAAUUUCUAAGAGCCAGAAAAUGCAUGACACAGGAGAAGAUGUACCCUCAUCUGUUCAGUGAGAGAUGUGCAAAUCAACAUCAACACAGAACUGCUGAAGAAAAAAAAUAUGUCUCUGAAAAGCAACUUAUUCACUGGAGAUGUGAGGAGCCAUCCGCACAUCACAAUUCUAUAGACAUCAAACGCAUGAAGCAUUUCGGAUCUGCUUUAAGACUGAGGCAGACUUUCCAUCUGGACACAGCCGACCAUCCAUGUGUCAUUACAAUGAAUCCAGCACUUCCCUGGAAGCUGGAAGGGUCAAAUUCAACUUCAACUCUGCCACUUCCUGCUUAACUUGCUGUUUAACCUUGGGCAAGCUGCCAUCCCACACGAGGCCGAAGGUGUCGGUUUUUAAAAUACAGAAAUUUGGUUCCAUGAGGGAUUAUCAAUAUACUGCUGGUGGGCCAAAUUCCAUCUGCUACUUGCCUUUGUAAAUAAAGUUUUAUUGAAACACAAACAUGCCCAUUAGUUUACUCUUGUCUGUGACUACAAGGGCAAAGUUGAAUAGUUGUUACAGAGACCAUCAGGCUCACAAAGCCUAGGUUAUUUACUAUCUGCCCAUUUACAGAGUAAGUUUGCCAGCCCUGGACUGGAUAAUUUUUUGAGUUCUUUCUAAUUCUAGAAUUCUUUAUAUAUUUUAUGAAACCCCUAAUGUUUAUAUAUUAAUUAUUUCAAUACCCGUGUCUUUACUGAGUCCCUCCUAUGAAGCAUACAUCAAGACAUAUGUGUGAUACAUUAACUAAACUUUUAACAGUAUCUUAAAUAGGAUUUCAAUGACUAACAGCUCUUGGAAAUAUCCAAGGUAACAUUUGGGGGCAAAUGUCUUAUGAUUUGAUUAUCAUUGGUAAAUAGAGCAUAUCUUUUUUUCCACUAACAAUGUUUAAGAAGUUAAAAAAAAAUCAAGAAAACCCCGUAUGGCACUAGAGACUUAUUGCAUUAAGACAUCAUCUUAACAGAUUGUUUAGUUUUGGUAAUAUAAUUUGACAUCUAAACAUAAGCUGAGAGGGAUCUCCCUCAAAACCUUUGAUAAUAUGAUUCAUUGUCAAAUGUUUGUUUUGCCUAUCUGGCACUCAUUAAUUAAUUCUUUUUAAUAUAGCUUGGAUUUACUGAUUUUGAAAAAGAGAAUUAUUCUUAUUGAUGUUGCUAAAAUAUCCAGGUGGCUUGAAUUUCACCAACUAGAUAGUUUAAUCUAGCACAUUUGUGUAGCCCUAAUCAAAUCUUUACUAACAGAUGUGAGAAGCCCAGUACUGGAGCUAAUGUUUGUGUCUCAAUGAUAAUUAAAUUAGCUUAAUAAGGAAAAUAAAUGAACAAUAAUCACCAAAAUUUUUCCCUAAACCUGUGUUAUAGUCUUAAAAACAUUUUUUCCCCUAUGGAGGCUUUUGGUAAUAAAACACAAAUUGAGGGAUUUUAAUUAAAAGAAAUUUUUUUUUCAAGAACUGGUCAUGUACUAAAUUGCUUAUAAUCAAAUAAUCAAGUAGCAUUUCUUUUAUUAUAAGAGCAAAACCUAUAAUUAAGCCAAAAUUCAAAUUUGUUUUUAAAGGUUGAAUAAUCUUUUGUUUUGGCCAAUAGUAUGUGGAUUUUUUUUUUAAGUAUUAUCUCUUUGUAGUAUUUUCUAAUGGAUAGGAAAUGCCUUUCUCAGGUUGAAUGAUUAUUUCCACAUAGAAUUAGUUCCUGCUUACAACAGUGCUCCACUAAUGUAAUGGCUCGGUGAAUUGGCUUUAUAAUUCAUUAAUCAUAGCUCACAUUGAGCUUUUGGCUCCAGGUGACAGUGCCCACCACAGGCCAAAUAACUUCUCAUUUAAAGGCAAUUUGUACAAAUAGGGAAGGUGAGAAUUCUCACAGUCCCAGAGGGAUUGAAGAGUUUUAAAAAACCAAGAUAAGGCAUUUUAUGGAAGACAGGUUGAUGGAAGAAAAGUGGCCAUUGGAGGAUGAGGCAGAUGGCUUUCCAGGGAGGCCCUGGAGCUGCCACCAUGGGGAAGGCCAUGUUGCAGCUGCUGAUCAGAGCACAUUGGACGGUGUUUCCGUGUGAACAUGAAGACAAUGCUGCCUCUGUUUCUGUGACGCUGUGCUCUGAUCUUGCUGGAGGCGAAGUGGUGUCAGCUGUGCUUACAGGACAGUCAGUGGUGGUAGAAAAGAGGCCAGUGUGACCUGUGAAGGACUGGGCCCCUCUCACUCAACCUGAGUGCCUGCAGUUGUGGCCACCUUUAUUUGUGUAUUCUACUGUAUUUAUUUAUUUGCCUGGCUAAUUAGCUCUGUGCCACAUUCCUAAGCUAGAUGUGUCCCUUCAUGUAAGUGAGAGGGAGACAGAAAGAAAGACUGAGGUGGGGGGUAGGAGAAAGAGAGGAAAGCAAGCAAGAAGAAAGAGAAAGAGAGAAGAAGAAAGGAAGAGGAAAGAAAGAGAGAAAGAGAAAGAGAAGGAAGGAAGGAGAAAGAGAAGGAAAGAAGGAGCCUUCUAAUUUUAUUUCAUUUCUCCAAUAAAUGUUCCUAUAUUAAGACUUUAGACAAAGAUUAGAAAUAUGAUUUGACAGAAAGUGUAUGGAUGUGUUGUUCUAUUGCAUUGUAAGUAAAGUAUCCAUGGCAAUAUACAAAUAAUACAGCUCCUACCCCUAUUCUCUGUUGUUACUUUCAUGUGUUGUCUUAACUUUUUAAAUUUCAAGAUAAUAUUGCGCUUAUUUAUUUUUCCAUGAGGAGGCCUAGGAUUUAGCUUGAUUAGAAAAGCUGUGGAAAAUGAAUGUGCUAAUUACUUUAAAUCAAAUUGAAAAUAAAUUUUAUCCUGUUUCAUGCAAAACA